rnacentral:lncRNA from 1 species
GCUCACUCUUGCCUAAGUAUAGGAAGUGGACAGCUUGCUUUGAGAAGUGGGGCAACAUAUCCACCUAAAUGUUGCUGGAAUAAGUAAAGCAUUCCCUGCAGAGGAAAGGGACACCUUUAUUCUCUUCGUGUCUGCAGGUGGCUUUGGUGCCAAGCUGUCCCCUGCCUGCUUCUGUUUUCACCCCCAGCCCCAGUGCUGCAGGCUGAUGGGGCUCCUUCUCCACUGACUCGCGUUUCCUCAUAUUCAUGGAGCUCUGCCGGCAGCUAGGCUGAGGGAGGAGCUGGGCAUACAGCUCUGGCCAUACAGAAGGUGCUGGUAAGAAACGGAGGCAGAGAGCAGUGCAACAGGAUGCAGAGGGACCGGCACUAUCAGGAGUGAGAGAGAAACCUUUUGAGACAAUUGCUGUUCUGGAGUAUCUCAGAAUCGAGGUCCCUUUCAACUCUCUCAUCUGUUCUGGUUUUAUGGACUGUAAGACAGAAACGUCCUCCAUGUGAGGAGUGCCUUGGAGGAGAGAGAUGGACCAUGUAAAGAUGGAGGGAGUGGCCAGGCAUGGAGGCUCAUACCUGUAAUCCCUGCACUUUGAGAGGCCAAGGUGGGUGGAUCACGAGGUGGAGAUCGAGACCAUCCUGGCCAACACGGUGAAACCCCGUCUCUACAAAAAAUACAAAAAUUAGCUGGGCAUGGUGGUGCGUGCCUGUAGUCCCAGCUACUCGGGAGGCUGAGGCAGGAGAAUCGCUCCGACCCGGGAGGCAGAAGUUGCAGCGAUCCAAUAUUGUGCCACUGCACUCCAGCCUGGUGACAGAGCAAGAUUCCAUCUCAAAAACAAACAAACAAACAAAAAAAGAUGGAGGGAGCUUUUGGAACGGAUCUUCAAGGAUGGCCAAGAGCCUUCUACAUGGAGGAAGGGUCCACUGAAUAUAACUUGCCACAUUCCAGGAGGAGUGGUGGGCAUUUCGUGUUAAUUUCCAAGUCACUGGCCUUGAAAUAAAGUGGAACAGGAUGGAACGGCCAUUGUGAGCCUGCUCAAUUCCACGUGCUAGAUAUACAUCAUGUUAUUUAAACAUGAAAGGAGGGGACAUUGUGCCCAUUCAAUAGAUGAGGGACACAAGGCUUCAAGAAAUUAAAUGGCUUGCUCAGAGCCACAUCCCUAGCAUGUGGGAGAGCUGAGGGGUGGUCCAGAGCUUUCUGAUUCCAAAGCCUCCAUUCUUUCCACCCCACUGUGCCUUUCCCAG